rnacentral:tRNA from 1 species
GAGCACGCGCUCCAAGUCCGGGUCGAUGGGGUCGGGAUCCUCUCCCGUGCGGGCGCGGGUUCGAUUCCCGUCCGCG